CACAUCGGUCCGGAGUUGAUGGGUUAUCAGUACUUUUCACUUACUUCUGCUUGCAGGAGUAAACCCCCGGUUUCCAUCGGAAACCAAACCCCUCGUUCUUCAGAUUCAUCUGAACUGAACACCCACUUCGCUAGUACCAACAGGCGAAACCCAACCCCAUCAACACCACUUGACCGUUGU
rfam:Caenorhabditis brenneri strain PB2801 C_brenneri-6.0.1_Cont123.27, whole genome shotgun sequence.